UACGUAGGGUGCGAGCGUUGCCCGGAUUUAUUGGGCGUAAAGGGCGCGUAGGCGGCUCGGCACGUCCGUUGUGAAAUCGCCCGGCUCAACUGGGCAGGGUCAGCGGAUACGGUCGAGCUUGAGCAAGCUAGGGGGCAAUGGAAUUCCCGGUGUAGUGGUGGAAUGCGUAGAUAUCGGGAGGAACACCAGUGGCGAAGGCGGUUGCCUGGAGCUUUGCUGACGCUGAUGCGCGAAAGCGUGGGGAGCGAUCCGG
rnacentral:rRNA from 1 species